UCCUGGCUGGCUCAGCUAGCAGAGCAUGAGACUCUGGAUCACAAGGUUGUGAGUUCAAGCCCCAUGUUGGGUG
rnacentral:tRNA from 1 species